GGUUCUGGCCCAGUGGAGGGGCAUCUGCUUUGUUUGCAGAAGGACCCAAGUUCAGUCCCUGGCCAGGAGCG
rnacentral:tRNA from 1 species